CGACCCCGGGAUGGAACCCAUGUGUCCUGCACUGGCAGCAGGACUCUGUACCACUGUGCCACCUGGGAAGCCCGAGUUCUCCAGAAGGAAGAAAGGGCAAAGGAAGAACCAAGAACAAACGAACAGAUUCCUGCUGAUACAGAAAGAAACAAAGGUGUUCCUCCCAGAAGCCUGACAUGGCCCACAGGAGACAGCAUGGGCCAGUGGGAAAGGCUUGGCUUUGGGCUCUGGUGGUCCCAAAUUCAAAUCCCAGCUCUGCUUUCAUUCCCCAAGUGACUCUAGAUGUGGAAACUGAGGCUUGGAGAGGUUGAAGAAGUCAUAUGGAUUCAGGCCAACGUCUCCAGACUCACAAUUCCAUGUUUUCCCCACUGAAGCGGACCCUGUGAUGUCGGUCACAUGAACGGGGUAUCCCCCUGAAGAAAAUAUAGCACAGCCACCCACUCUAGUGGACAGCAUCUGGAAGGUUCGCCCACCAUCUGGGUAACUUCGCUCGACUGUAGAAGAUUCUUUUCUUAAGACUAUGGUCCUCCUUCUCAUUCCUGGCUCAGCUACCGAGAGAUAACGUCCUCGUUCUCGUGUCUAACUGGCCCUCCCCAAAUCCCUCACCCCAGAUGCUGCGAGCCAACUCCCAUCCACCGCUAAAAAUGGCAGUGACAACUCCAGCUUCCUUUUAUGAGAGAAAAGAAAAUUUAUCAGACUUGAGCAGAAAAGGAUAUAUCCCAAUAGGAGUGUGACGCGUGUCAACUACAGUCAGGGAGAAGUGCCCAGUCGUGUGGCUGGCUUUGUUGGCCUAAAUCACAUAGCCCACUUCUGCUGUGGCAGGACUGCCACCCACCCCAGAAAAAAAAAAAAAAGCCCUGGCAUCCUUGGGAAUCCAGCCAGAGAAGGGGUUAGGGGAUAGGGCUCUAGAACUUGUCCCCUGAUGGAAGGCUCCAGAAAUUUGCUUACUGACUUGUAAAGUGGGAGAUUUUGAAGCCCAGAAUUGACUGGAACUUUGAUCUAUUAAGGAAUUGCCAAAGCCUUUAUCUUAUUGGAUGUAGCUGCAAAUUUGACCAGCCUCAGAGGUGGGGAAGGAAGCGGAAGAAGGCAAGGAUACAGUGCAAAGCAGGGGAGAAGGCACUCCCAGCCUCAGAGAGGUACAGCCAGUGAUGGUCUCUGCUGCACGCCUGGUGGUCAGGAAGCCCUGGAAACUGCCUACUCUGCCCACCAAUAAAGGAAGCAUUACACAGACCAUAACAGCCUCACCUUUCCAAAGAAGUCUCUGCACUAUCUUUUAAAAAUGAGGACAGUACAGAGGUUCCUCAAAAAACUAAAAAUUGAAUGACAAUAUUCAAUUUCUUGAAAAUAUUCAGUAAUCCUACCCCUGGGAAUUUAUCCAAAGAAAGCAAAGACGCUAAUUUGAAAAGAUACUGCAUCCCUGUGGUCUCUGCAGCAUUAUUUGCAAUAGCCAGGAUACAGAAACAACCUGCAUGUCCAUCAGUGGAUGUGUGGACAAAAAAAAUGUGAUACACACCCCCCCACACACACAAUGGAUAAUUACUUAGCUAUAAAAAAGAAGGAAAAGCUUGCCAUUUGGGGCACCAUGGAUGGACCUUACAGGCAUUGUGCUAAGGAGAAUAAGAGAGACAGAGAAAGGCAAAUACCAUAUGAUCUCAUUUAUAUGUGAAAUCUAAAAUAAACUGAACUCACAGAUGCAGAGAAUGGACUGGUGGUUGCCAGAGAUAAGGGAGUGGGCGCAGGCAAAAUAGAUGAAGGGAGUCAAAAGGCACAAACUUCCAGUUAUAAGACUAAUAAGUCAUGGGAAUAUAAUGUACAGCAUGAUGACUCUAAUAAUACUAUAUUAUUUAAAAGUUGCUAUGAGAAUAAAUCCUAGCAGUUCUCAUCACCAUACACAUACAAAAAAUGUAAUUAUGCAUGGUGACAGACGUUUAACUAGACUUAUUAUGGUAAUCAUUUCUCAAUAUAUACAAAUAUUGAAUCACUAUGCUGUAUACCUAAAACUAAUAAAAUGUUAUAUGUCAAUUACACACACACACACGCACGCCAAAAAGGAACAUGGAUAGAAAGAUAAUUACACUGGUGGGACUGAUCUCUAAAACUAAUUUAAAAAAAAAAAACAGAUUGCAGGGGCUUCCCUGCUAGUCCAGGGGCUAAGACUCGACACUCCCAAGUGCAGGGAGCC